UACGUAGGCGGCAUGAUAAGUCUGGAGUGAAAGGCUACAGCUCAACUGUAGUAUGCUCUGGAAACUGUCAAGCUAGAGUGCAGAAGAGGGCAAUGGAACUCCAUGUGUAGCGGUAAAAUGCGUAGAUAUAUGGAAGAACACCGGUGGCGAAGGCGGUUGCCUGGUCUGAAACUGACGCUGAAGUACGAAAGCGUGGGAGCAAAUA
rnacentral:rRNA from 1 species